AAUUUUUGCAAAAUAGAUAGCAGCAAGAAUUUAUGCUGUGUACAAUAACAUUAGCUCUUCAAAUAAAGCCAAUAUCAUCUCCUACUAAUGUCCCAUCUCUGUAACCUUUAAUUGCAAGUUGUUGGACUACUCUUUGAACCUAGGAGCAUGUUUCCCUUUUUCUUCUAUAAUCUUUUAAUCUUCAAGUACUGGACCAUCUCUUCUCAGGUAAUAUCAAGGCCAAACUCCCUUACAUGCAAUAAAUUUAACACUUCAUGACACUCACUUAAAAAUCAGGGUUAAGAUUUUUGCUACCAUAAAAAGCAUUCAACAUUUUCAUCAACAGUAAGCAGGUAUUGGGUU
rnacentral:misc_RNA from 1 species